rnacentral:rRNA from 1 species
GGACCCGCACAAGCGGUGGAGCAUGUUGUUUAAUUCGAAGCAACGCGAAGAACCUUACCUACACUUGACAUGCCUCUUAGGACUUUCAGAGAUGAUUGUUUUCGGUUCGGCCGGGGAGUGCACAGGUGCUGCAUGGCUGUCGUCAGCUCGUGUCGUGAGAUGUUGGGUUAAGUCCCGCAACGAGCGCAACCCUUAUCGUAUGUUGCCAGCAUUUAGUUGGGCACUCAUGCGAGACUGCCGGUGAUAAGCCGGAGGAAGGCGGGGACGACGUCAAGUCAUCAUGGCCCUUACGUGUAGGGCUACAAACGUGCUACAAUGGCGUUAACAAUGGGCAGCGAGGCUGUGAGGCCAAGCUAAUCCUUAAAAAACGUCUCAGUUCAGAUUGUACUCUGCAACUCGAGUACAUGAAGUUGGAAUCGCUAGUAAUCGCAAAUCAGCAUGUUGCGGUGAAUACGUUCCCGGGUCUU